rnacentral:lncRNA from 1 species
UACUAUCCCGAUCAUAAUGAGCCAAACCAUAUAUCAUCAAAUUCCAAGAAACAAUAUACUCAAAAACAAUAUCCACAAAACCUCAAAAACAAUAUCCACAAACACAAGAUAAAAUAAAACAACAAAAGUUAAAGAUGAUGAACCCCGAAACCCCUUCUUCCCCACCCAUCAUCCUCGCUCACCCCGAACACCUUCAAAAUCUCCGCAAUCUUACUCUCAUCAAGCACCGUACUUCUCAUCUCUAGCAACAUACAAGUCUUUGUCGAUUCUUUCACUGAAAUUUUUGGGGCCGUGGGAUCGGUCUUCAUGAUCUCAAGCUUCUUGGAGGCUUCACAUAGGAUGGUUGUACAAAUUCAAGGCC